CCUACGGGAGGCAGCAGUGAGGAAUAUUGGUCAAUGGCCGGAAGGCUGAACCAGCCAAGCCGCGUGAGGGAGGAAGGCGCAGAGCGUCGCAGACCUCUUUUGCCGGGGGACAAAAGGCCGGACUCGUCCGGUCCUGAGGGUACCCGGAGAAAAAGCAUCGGCUAACUCCGUGCCAGCAGCCGCGGUAAUACGGAGGAUGCGAGCGUUAUCCGGAUUUACUGGGUGUAAAGGGAGCGCAGGCGGCACGCUAAGCCUGAUGUGAAAACCCGCGGCCCAACCGCGGGAGUGCAUUGGGAACUGGCGAGCUGGAGUACCGGAGGGGCAGGCGGAAUUCCUAGUGUAGCGGUGAAAUGCGUAGAUAUUAGGAGGAACACCAGUGGCGAAGGCGGCCUGCUGGACGGAGACUGACGCUGAGGCUCGAAAGCGUGGGGAGCAAACAGGAUUAGAUACCCCAGUAGUC
rnacentral:rRNA from 1 species